AUGGCUGUCGUCAGCUCGUGUCGUGAGAUGUUGGGUUAAGUCCCGCAACGAGCGCAACCCUUACUUUUAGUUGCCACCAUUUAGUUGGGCACUCUGAAAGAACUGCCAGUGAUAAGCUGGAGGAAGGUGGGGAUGACGUCAAGUCCUCAUGGCCCUUACGUGUUGGGCUACACACGUGCUACAAUGGUAUCUACAACAGGAAGCAAAACAGCGAUGUUAAGCAAAUCCCGAAAAGAUACCUCAGUUCGGAUUGCACUCUGCAACUCGAGUGCAUGAAGCUGGAAUUACUAGUAAUCGCGGAUCAGCGUGCCGCGGUGAAUACGUUCCCGGGUCUUGUACACACCGCCCGUCACACCAUGGGAGUUGGUUCUACCUUAAGGCAAAGCUUAAAACCUUUGACCACGGUAUAGUCAGCGACUGGGGUGAAGUCGUAACAAGGUAGCCGUAGGGGAACCUGCGGCUGGAUUACCUCCUUUCUAAGGAUGAUUGAAAGUAAAAUUUCAAUCUAAAUAAUAUACAGGUUAAUGUUGACCGUCCUCAUUUCUCUUCUUAAAAUAGUGUUUCUCUUCUGCAUGGGGGCCGGUAGCUCAGUUGGUUAGAGCACACCCUUGAUAAGGGUGGGGUCGAAAGUUCGAGUCUUUCUCGGCCCACCAAAUUUUAUCUGGGGGAUUAGCUCAGCUGGUAGAGCGCCUGCUUUGCAAGCAGGAGGUCAGCGGUUCGACCCCGCUAUCCUCCACCAAAUUAAUGAACAGUAAAAAAAGGUGGUGCAGCUUAAGCAGAAGAUAAGCUUCAGCAAUUAUUUAAUAAUUUCUGAAUUUUAUUUUUUAAUAUCUUAGACAAUUGAAUCGGAGGUUUUGGAGACACAAGAUCAAAUGUGAGGGUCUCCAAGGGUUGACGAUCUUGACUGUUAAAGUCAGGUAGUAAGGGCGCAGGGCGGAUGCCUUGGCUCUGGGAAGCGAAGAAGGACGUGGCUAGCUGCGAUAAGCCUCGGGGAAGAGCAAACAUCUUUUGAUCCGGGGAUUUCCGAAUGGGGAAACCCGG
rnacentral:sRNA from 1 species